UGUAUACACGUAUAUGCACGGGCAGGGCCGCGCUGGGCCCGUCUGAGCCUCGGCACCCGGGCCCUGCUCCCCCCGGCCCGGCGCGGCGCCCAGGUCGCGGACGGAGUAUUGCUGUCUGCCCCUGGCUCCUGAGGCCCGAGAUUCCUAUUUUUCAUUGUCAAUCAUCCAUCUGGUUCUUUCUGGACUCCUUAUAAUAGACUGGGCAAAAAUACUCAGGAAGAGGCUCAGCCAGCUCCCUCUGAAGCCAACACCCAAGAUCACGGCUGUGCGGAGCUGACGGGGCUCCCACCCCUCACCUUGGCUGCUCUCGUGUUUCAGCCAGGACCGGACGGGGUUGAACGGGAUCGCCUCCAUCUCACACAGGAAGUUCUCCGGGCCCGACGAGACGGCCGUAUUGGACAAGGGGAAGAAGCAUUCACCCAGGUCCCCUACCCGCAAGGGCUCAGGCGGGUCUGGCUCACCCUACAGGAAAAGGGAGGUGGAAGGGGCAGGAUGGUGGAGGGAGGACAGCCUGCCACAGCUACCUUCAUGCCCCUGCUCUUCAGCCCUUUGCUGGUCACUCUCACUGCCUGGGACGGCCUUCUCCUUGCCUCCUCCACCUGGGCAGGUCCCUUCCCGUGGCCGAGCCUCAGUUUCCACAUCCAUAAAUGAGACAGUAAUCCCUCCUUCCAAGCCCUGGCACCCAGAAGCUGCCAGCCUUCCUUCCUGGCACUCCCUGGGCCCUGCCCUUCUUCAACCCUGCAGCCCAAGGCAACCUCUGCACAGUAAACUCCUCAAAAGCUGCCUCAAUGCCCCCUCCAAGGCGGAUGCGUCCCCUAUGACCUGUUCUUUGAGUCCUAAUAAAACCGACUGCACCCACCUAAGCCCGACCAGGCCCUAGAAACAGUGCACCCCAACAUCCUGUGCAGGAAAACAGUGCAGGGGUGCAGGAAAUAUAGGAAGGGGUGGGUGGCAGGAGCUGUAGGAGCUGUCAGUUAUAAGGGAGGGCCCAGGGGGGCAGGGAGGGGCUGAGAAGAUCCACUUCCCCUAUCCCAACCUUCCCAGAGCUGACAGAGGACAGCCCUGGCGAGGGGGGGAGGUGGUGGUGGCAGUAGUGCCAAACCCAGGGUGCCCCAGGGGUCAGGGGGACGGAGGCUCUCUUAGGGCAAGGCCACUGCAUCCCAACCUCAGGCCAAGGGCUCUGUCUCACAUCCCCCAGCCAGGGCAAGAACAACUUGGCUCUGAGGUCACAAACCAGGCGGCAGACCUCCCCUGCCCGAGUCUGCAGGAUCAGUAUAAUGGCCCUUCCAGCCUUCCCGGCCCUCAGGCAGACCACUUCAAAGGCAAAGGUUGGCAACCAGUCCCAGGGCUGGCUUCCCUGCUCUGCCACGCCCAGCCAUGUGAGAGGACAAGCCACCUUACUUCUCAGAGUUCUGAUGCCCUCGUAUGUGAAAUGGAGCUAAAUCGUCUCUAAUGCGCAGAGCUGGGGGCAGACAUACUGGGUGCAAGGUCAGGCACACAGUAGGUGCCUGCACCUGUUUCAACUCUUCAGCCUCAUGGCCCCGCUGUAAGGUUGGCCCGCCAGGGACAACUCCCAUUAAAUCGAUCAAAAACAUCCAAAGUGACAGAGAGUGGCCAGGGCCACUUGGAUGCUGUGAUUGGAGCCCUGGCUGAGCUCAUUGCUGUGUGACUCCAGCUAAAUCACUCCACCUCUCUGUCUCCAGUCCUCAUCUGACUCACAUGAGCUGAGGGCCCAGCACCUAGUGGGUGCCACGUAAAUGGUGUGCCAGGGAGGAGCAGUGUUCUGGUGCAGCAGGCAGCGGCCAGGCUCGAGGACAGAUCUGCUUGCCCAGGAGCCCACCAGGCGCUCACCUUGCUGUCUCUGGGGCCAACCUGGCAGGCUGUGGAGUCCUCCAGACUCAGGUCAUCGCCAAGCAGGAUGGACGAGGACCUGUCUGAGUUCAAGGAGAAGGCCUCCGUCUCGGCCAGCUGUACCUGCAGGGAGAGGCGGCAGCGACGGGUCACCCCUGGGGCUGGGAUGCGGCAGGCCGGUCCUCCAGAAACAUGCAGGGCAGUGGUCAGAGAGGCCCAGAGAUCUGAGCACAGAUGGCACGUCUACCCUGUGCAGGGACCCAGCCUGGGCAGGGGGUGGGAGAUGACACGAGUGUCACAGGCAGCAGAGUGCCAGGCCUGGGCCAGGCCGGAGGGCAGGUGAGCUGCCGUGGGCUGUGAACCAGAGCUGGUCUGCUCGCCCCCAGGUCAAAUGCCCCUCGAAGCUGCCUGGGUCUGACUCACCCGUGGCCCUGCUCAGGCUACUGCACGGGCAGGGGUGGCUGCAAGCCCGGAGGACCCUGGGGAAUUUGAAGCCACCUCAGGCUGAGAGGGAUCCCUGGGAGCUGCAACACCCCUGGGGAAGGUCUCACGGCCCCACAUUGCUGGGGAGAGGGGAGAGGGCCCGCCUGAGCCUGCACAAGACAGGCCUGAGGCCAGUGGACACCCUCAGAUGCCCAUCUGGGAAACUCCACCUGGGGGUGGAGGCCAGGGCAGGGGCACCGGGAAGAGACUCUGGGGUGCUUAGGCCUUGAGUGCCGGGACGAUGGCCCUGGAUGACCCCAUCAUGUCACAGAAAAGGCAAACUGCACCAGAGGUGACACCUGGGCUUCCUGCCGGCCCCGGCAGCCCACCACUGAGGUGGGCAGCUGCCCUUUCUGAGCACCGACUGUGUACAGGCACAGAGCGGGACCUCGCCGCUCCCGAGGCCAUGCCACACGCCUGCACGGAGCGGACAGACAGGCCAGGCCGGGCUCGGGGAGGCGGGUCCGCCACAGCCCCCCGGGCCAGCAUCGGCCUAGCAAGCUGGCCAGGCCUCCACCCAGAGCUGGCUCUCCCCUGGGGCGGGCCUCCCACCAGGCCUCGUGCUGCUCCCACCCCGAGACCCCCGCUCCCCCCGAGGCUGCCAUCACCUGCUGGUUGUCGUGGUGACACCUCCCGCAGCCGGCCGGCGAGGAGUAGUGGUGGAAGACGGAGCCCGACAGGUUGUCGAUGAGGGUCAGCUCCCCAUCCAAGGAGUCCUUGAUGAUUAAAGAGACGCUGUCCAGCCACAGGUUCUCCUAGGCGGACGGGGACGGGGUGGGGACAGGCGGGAUUAUCGGCCGGGUCGGGACGGCGGGGUGGGCGGGCACAGCUGCCCUCCCGGCUCUCCGCCCAUGGCCUGGGCCCCUCAUCACGGGGACGCCCCUUCCACGGAGCUGAGGGAGCGGGGCCCGAAACGACAGAGCUCUCUGCCCGAGGCCCCGGGCCAGCCACCCCCCGGCCCUCGGCGACCCCGCUGCCCUCUCCGGGCCCCGCGCACCUGGGCUGGCGAGUAGCAGCUUCGGGUCAGGCGGCCCUCGGCGUCGCCCCCGCCGCCCGCCCCUCCUGGCCCACGGCCGGGCACGGGCGCCCCCGGGGAGCCGGCGGGUGGCCGCGGGCCGGGGCCCGGGCCGUGGGCCAUCUCCAGCUCGAGCUCGGCGUCCAUCUCGGCGUCCUCCUGGGCCUCCUUGUUGCUGUCGUCCAGGUGCUUCAUGAGCACGGCCACCACCACGUUGAUGAGCACGAACUGGGCCGUGAGCACGAAGCUGACGAAGUACAGCGGCGACACGAACUGCAGGCUGCUCAGGCAGCUGCGCUCGUCCUGGGUGCAGUCCCGCAGCGUGUCCUGCACCCGGCGGCGGGGGGAGGCAGCCGUGAGGCCCGGGGGUCUCGGGCCACAGGCCUCAUCUCUGCCCUCACGAGCCCCUCCCCGCCCAGCCCAGACCGGACUGUGGGCCGGAGCCCGGGAGCCUGCGCUGGGUGGUGGGCAGCGAGGCCAACGCCGAGGGCCUGGCACCCGGAGGAGCAGUGCCCGGAGCCCCUGGCCCUGGCCGUGGGCCCCCGGUCCCCUCUGGCCCUGGGCGGAGUCCUGUCCCCUGGAAUCUGAGCACUGAUCCCGGAGCAGCGUUUAGGGGCGGACAGAGACCCGUCCUGGCCUCAUCUCCACCUCGCUGUGCUUCAGAGUCCUGGGCAGGUGCUGCUGCUUCUCUGUGCCCUGAACCCCCUUCUGGGUGCGACAGGGCGCUGGGCAGGCAGGGGGCCCGGGAGCCCUGGCUGUCAGGACACGGAACCCAGCCCAAUUCUCCCUCCCCAGCCCACCCACGUGUACCUUCAUGAUCCCGUUCCAGUUGUCGCCGGUGGAGACCUGGAAGAGUGUGAGGAAGGCCAUGCCAAAGUUCUCGAAGGUGGCGUGCCGGCUCAUGCCCUCGCACGGGUUCUCGUCGUUGCAGACUAGAAGCAGAGUGGGGUCAGCCGGGCCCGCUGCGGAGCCUCCUGCACAGCCCACCCUGUGCUGCUGCCUCUAGGCCUCAUCUCAGAAUCCCCAUGACAACCUCAGAGGUGCGUGUGGACUGUGCCCAGCCCAUGGAUGGAGAAACUGAGGCUCAGGGAGGUAGCACAUAAGCUGGGACUCAAAUUCAGGCCUGCUUCGGGCAUCACUCACCCAGCUUCCCGAAGAGCUCCACUCCCAGGGCGGCGUAGAUGAAGAAGAGAAGCAUGAAGAGGAGGCCCAGGUUGCCCACCUGUGGGGACAGCAGGUGGGGCUGGGCAGGGCCUGGGGGGGCGGGGCAGGUGGGCUGCAGGCAAAGGGCCUGUCCGAGGCUCAGGGCAGCCAUAACAUUUCACCAGGCUCUGUGCCCGUGUCUGCCACCCCUGCACGACCUCCUGGAGGGCAGGCCAGGUCCAGCACAGGGCACAGGACGAUAAUAAAACACAUUUGAAGCCUUUACUGGGAGUGGCCUGGUUUCAAGCACUCCACAUUCACUGCUCCACACAGUGAUCUAUAAGCUCUCUUUUACCCCCGUUCAUCAGGUGAAGAAACAGAUGUCCUGGGAGGUGAAGUAUUGAUACUUGCUAGUAAGUGGUAUGACUGGGGUCAAGCCCAGCAGGCUGACACCAGGGUCCACACACACAGUCCAUGCUACACCUGUGUGUGAUUACUACCAUCCCGUGGAUGAAUGGUGAGAGGGAGAAAAGGAAGUUGCAGCAAUAAUGCUACCUCCUCCACGAAGCCUGCCUGGAUUCCUUCAGGCAGACGGGGAUGCAGUCUGACUGCAUGAGUGUAACUGGUGUGUCCUUGUCACUGUGUCUGCCCAUCUGGGAAGUCCUUGAGAGCAGGGACAUGGCUGGAUUAAUUCAGAUCUGCUUCCCCAGGCCAGCAAGGGCCCUGGCCACAGAGAGGAGUGAACAUAGGAAUUAUGCAAGACUGGGGGCCUCCGAAGCCUUCUGCAAACCCAGCCACCCCUGUCCCACAGCUCCUGUGGGAGAAAAACAUUGCAGAUUCCAAACCUAACUCAAAUCUAUCCAUAGACCAGAGACUGCCUUUAACUCGUGUUAUGGGUAAGAUAAGGCUCAAACAUGUUCCUGCCCUAGAAAUGAAGUAUCUCUG